AGCAUAUCAAUAAGCGGAGGAAAAGAAACUAACAAGGAUUCCCCUAGUAACUGCGAGUGAAGCGGGAAAAGCUCAAAUUUAAAAUCUGGCGGUCUUCGGCCGUCCGAGUUGUAGUCUGGAGAAGUGCUUUCCGCGCUGGACCGUGUAUAAGUCUCUUGGAACAGAGCGUCAUAGAGGGUGAGAAUCCCGUCUUUGACACGGACUACCAGUGCUUUGUGAUGCGCUCUCAAAGAGUCGAGUUGUUUGGGAAUGCAGCUCAAAAUGGGUGGUGAAUUCCAUCUAAAGCUAAAUAUUGGCGAGAGACCGAUAGCGAACAAGUACCGUGAGGGAAAGAUGAAAAGCACUUUGGAAAGAGAGUUAAACAGUACGUGAAAUUGCUGAAAGGGAAACGCUUGAAGUCAGUCGCGUCGUCCGGAACUCAGCCUUGCUUCCGCUUGGUGCACUUUCCGGAUGACGGGUCAGCAUCGAUUUUGACCGUCGGAAAAGGGCUGGAGUAAUGUGGCACCUCCGGGUGUGUUAUAGACUCUGGUCGCAUACGGCGGUUGGGAUCGAGGAACGCAGCGCGCCGCAAGGCAGGGGUUCGCCCACUUUCGCGCUUAGGAUGCUGGCAUAAUGGCUUUAAACGACCCGUCUUGAAACACGGACCAAGGAGUCUAACAUACCUGCGAGUGUUUGGGUGGAAAACCCGAGCGCGUAAUGAAAGUGAAAGUUGAGACCUCUGUCGUGGAGGGCAUCGACGCCCGGACCUGACGUUCUCUGAAGGAUCCGCGGUAGAGCAUGUAUGUUGGGACCCGAAAGAUGGUGAACUAUGCCUGAAUAGGGUGAAGCCAGAGGAAACUCUGGUGGAGGCUCGUAGCGAUUCUGACGUGCAAAUCGAUCGUCAAAUUUGGGUAUAGGGGCGAAAGACUAAUCGAACCAUCUAGUAG
rnacentral:rRNA from 1 species